rnacentral:rRNA from 1 species
CCUACGGGUGGCUGCAGUGAGGAAUAUUGGUCAAUGGACGAGAGUCUGAACCAGCCAAGUAGCGUGAAGGAUGACUGCCCUAUGGGUUGUAAACUUCUUUUAUAUAGGAAUAAAAUGUUCCACGUGUGGGAUUUUGUAUGUACCAUAUGAAUAAGGAUCGGCUAACUCCGUGCCAGCAGCCGCGGUAAUACGGAGGAUCCGAUCGUUAUCCGGAUUUAUUGGGUUUAAAGGGAGCGUAGGUGGAUUGUUAAGUCAGUUGUGAAAGUUUGCGGCUCAACCGUAAAAUUGCAGUUGAAACUGGCAGUCUUGAGUACAGUAGAGGUGGGCGGAAUUCGUGGUGUAGCGGUGAAAUGCUUAGAUAUCACGAAGAACUCCGAUUGCGAAGGCAGUUCACUGGACUGCAACUGACACUGAGGCUCGAAAGUGUGGGUAUCAAACAGGAUUAGAUACCCGAGUAGUC